ACUGCUCAGUAACACGUGGUUAACCUGCCCUAAGGUGGAGAAUACUCCCGGGAAACUGGGGCUAAUGCUCCAUAGUGGAUAUGUCCUGGAAUGGUAUAUCCUCGAAAGAUCCGUCGCCUUAGGAUGGGACUGCGUCCGAUUAGGUUGUUGGCGGGGUUUCGGCCCACCAAGCCAUUGAUCGGUACGGGUUGUGGGAGCAAGAUCCCGUAGAUGGAUUCUGAGACAUGAAGCCCCGCCCUACGGGGCGCAGCAGGCGCGCAAACUUUACAAUGCGAGCAAUCGUGAUAAGGAAACCCUGAGUGCCUGUCGAUGCAGGCUGUUCAUAUAUCUAAAUCAUAUGUGAAGAAAGGGCAGGGCAAGACCGGUGCCAGCCGCCGCGGUAAUACCGGCUGCUCGAGUGAUGGCCACUAUUACUGGGUUUAAAGCGUCCGUAGCUUGACUGUUAGGUCUCUUGGGAAAUCUUCACGCUCAACGUGAAGGCGUCUAAGAGAUACCGGCAGUCUUGGAACUGGGAGUGGUAAACCGUACUUCGGGGGUAGGAGUGAAAUCUUGUCGUCCUCGAGGGACGACCUAUGGCGAAGGCAGUUUACCAGAACAGCUUCGACAGUGAGGGACGAAAGCUGGGGGAGCAAACGGGAUUAGAUACCCCGGUAGUCCCAGCCGUAAACAAUGUGCGUUAGGUGUGUCGGUAACCACGUGUUACUGAUGCGCCGAAGAGAAAUCGUGAAACGCACCACCUGGGAAGUACGGUCGCAAGGCUGAAACUUAAAGGAAUUGGCGGGGGAGCAC
rnacentral:rRNA from 1 species